rnacentral:rRNA from 1 species
GACGAACGCUGGCGGCGUGCUUAACACAUGCAAGUCGAGCGAUGAAGUUCCUUCGGAAAUGAAUUAGCGGCGAACGGGUGAGGAACACGUGAGAAAUCUGCCUUUAACUCUGGGAUAACUCCGUGAAAACGGGGCGAAUACCGGACAUGAAACCUUCGGGCAUCCGCGGGUUUGGAAAGGAUUUCGGUUGAAGAUGAUCUCGAGGCCUAUCAGCUUGUUGGUGAGGUAAUGGCUCACAAAGGCGACGACGGUUAGCCGGCCUGAGAGGGCGAACGGCCACACUGGGACUGAGACACGGCCCAGAGUCCUACGGGAGGCAGCAGUGGUGAAUAUUGGGCAAUGGAGGAAACUCUGACCCAGCGACGCCGCGUGCGGGAUGAAGGCCUUCGGGUUGUAAGCCGCUUUCAGCAGGGAAGAAGCGAAAGUGACGGUACCUGCAGAAGAAGCACCGGCUAACUACGUGCCAGCCGCCGCGGUAA